rnacentral:rRNA from 1 species
AUACGUAGGGGGCGAGCGUUGUCCGGAAUGAUUGGGCGUAAAGGGCGCGUAGGCGGCCCGGUAAGUCUGGAGUGAAAGUCCUGUUUGUAAGAUGGGAAUUGCUUUGGAUACUGUCGGGCUUGAGUGCAGGAGAGGUAAGUGGAAUUCCCAGUGUAGCGGUGAAAUGCGUAGAGAUUGGGAGGAACACCAGUGGCGAAGGCGACUUACUGGACUGUAACUGACGCUGAGGCGCGAAAGUGUGGGGAGCAAACAGGAUUAGAUACCCUGGUAGUCCACACUGUAAACGAUGAAUGCUAGGUGUAGGGGGUAUCGACCCCUUCUGUGCCGCAGUCAACACAAUAAGCAUUCCGCCUGGGGAGUACGGCCGCAAGGUUGAAACUCAAAUGAAUUGACGGG